AAUCGAGGCGUGGCUUCCGGUCCGCUUCCCGGAAGCAAGCGUCACGGACCUUAGGGCUGGAGGUUUUUCUUCUCCUAAUUUCUUAGUCGUAGUGCCUGGCCUCUGAAUAGUUUUGCAUCUGGUUCCGAUGCUGGGAACUGUUGCGUCUACGAGGUAAAAAAUAAAUUCAGCGUCCAUUUUGAAAUGGCUCCCCAGAACCCACAAAAUAAGAAAGUACUCAAAUCUAUUCCAUGUUUAGGAAUGUAGCCCAUGGACACUUGCACAUGCGCACAAGAAAGCUAAAGCCGCAUCCGCUUUGGGGAGAGGUGGGUGAAGAAAUAACGAAAAAUUGAAACCUUGUAGUCGUAUAGCCAUAGAGGGAGGACAAAAUAAACCUGGUCAUCCGCGUUAGGGAAUACCAUACGUUGGUGUUAAAAAGAACAAAGUAGAUUCUUGUGGAAAGAUAAAGAUGAGUUAAGCGAAGUGGGGGGUGGGGGGGAACCCAAGUUGCCGUAAACUACAUAUUUGUGCUUAUGUGCGUUUAAAUGCAAGGGGAAAAGCCUGAAAGGAAAGAACUAAUAAUAGCUCUGAGGAUAGGAACUUAGUCAAGAGCUACUUUAACUUCAUCUGUAUUGUUUUAAAUUGUUUACAAAUUAACGAUUUAAUAUAAGGUUUUAACAAAGGGAAAAA